CAGAUCCCCAAUGGCCGCAGCUCACUCCACCGAACACGCCGAAAUCCCUCGUCAUCCACUCCUCCUAAACCCCGGCCGGCCAUGGCAGCACUGCCGUAUCUCGUCCUCCUCCUCCUGCUCCUCCGCCCAGCGGCCGCACCCGCCGCUCGACCGCCGCCGCCUUCGAAUCCUCCUCCGCCGCAGCCGCACCAGAAAGUGUUCGUCUGGCCCAAGCCGACGUCCAUCUCGUGGCCGUCCGUCGUGUACGCGCCGCUCACCCCGACCUUCAGCAUCCGCGCGGUGCCGCCCCACCCGGCCCUCCGCCACGCGAUCGCCUACUACAGCCGCCACAUCCGCGCCGAGCGCCACACGCCGCUGGUGCCCCCCGCCAACUACACGCUCGCCCGCGUCCCCGUCCGCCUCCUCACGCUCUCCGUCUCCGACGCCCAAGUCCCGCUCGGCCCCGACGUCGACGAGUCCUACACGCUCUCCGUGCCCGUGGAAUCGGCCUCCGCCGACAUCUCCGCGGCCACGCCCUGGGGCGCCAUCCGCGGCCUCGAGACCUUCUCCCAGCUCGCAUGGGCCGGCGGCGGCGAAGCUGCGGGCGGCCAGUCGAUUGUCCCCAGCGGCAUCGAGAUCUCCGACCGCCCCCUCUUCACCCACCGUGGCAUCCUUCUCGACACCGCCCGCAACUUCUAUCCCGUUCGCGACAUCCUCCACACCAUCCGCGCCAUGGCGUUCAACAAGCUCAACGUCUUCCACUGGCACAUCACCGACGCCCAGUCCUUCCCCAUCGUCCUCCCCACCGUCCCCAGCCUCGCCCACCUCGGCUCCUACUCCCCCUUCAUGCGCUACACCGACAAGGACGUCCGUCGCAUCGUCAACUACGCGGCUGCGUUCGGCGUCCGUGUCAUCCCCGAGAUCGACAUGCCCGGGCACGCGGGUUCGUGGGCGGGAUCGUACCCGGAGAUCGUCACCUGCGCGAACAAAUUCUGGGCGCCCACGGCGAGUCCCGCGCUGGCGGCGGAGCCCUGCACGGGGCAGCUGAACCCGCUGAACCCCAAGGCGUACCGCGUGGCGCAGGACGUUCUGCGCGACCUGUCGGCCCUGUUCCCGGACCCGUACCUCCACGGUGGCGCCGACGAGGUGAACACGGCGUGCUGGGAGGACGACCCCGUGGUGCGGCGCUUCCUCAGCGAGGGCGGCACGCACGACCAACUCCUGGAGCUGUUCGUGAACGCGACACGGCCGUUCAUGGUGCACGAGCUGAACCGCACGGUGGUGUACUGGGAGGACGUGCUCCUGGGGCCCAAGGUGAUGGUGGGGCCGACGGCGCUGCCCAAGGAGACGACGGUGCUGCAGACGUGGAACAACGGGGCCGAGAACACGAAGCGGAUCGUGGCCGCCGGGUACCGCGCCAUCGUCUCCUCGGCGGCCUACUACUACCUGGACUGCGGGCACGGCGGGUGGGUGGGCAACGACAGCCGGUACGACAAGCAGGAGAAGGAGGGCGACGGGGCGCCGCUGUUCAACGACCCCGGGGGCACGGGCGGGUCGUGGUGCGCGCCGUUCAAGACGUGGCAGCGCGUGUACGACUACGACAUCCUGCACGGGCUGACGGAAGAGGAGGCCAACCUGGUGCUGGGCGGCGAGGUGGCGCUGUGGUCGGAGCAGUCGGACGCCGCGGUGCUGGACGGCAGGCUCUGGCCGAGGGCCGCCGCCGCCGCGGAGACGCUCUGGUCCGGGAACAAGGGCGCCAGCGGGAGGAAGCGGUACGCCAACGCCACGGACCGGCUCAACGACUGGAGGCACCGGAUGGUGGCGCGCGGCAUCCGGGCCGAGCCCCUCCAGCCGCUCUGGUGCCCGCUGCACCCGGGCAUGUGCAACCUCUCGCAGUAGCCAGUAGCACACCGGUGAAGCCUGGCCCCUGCUUUGCUGUCUGCCGUGCCGCUGAGCGGCGUGGUGUGGUGGGAAGGAAUGUUCACAGAUCGAACUGGCACAGGGACAGAGAAUUUGGAACGUGGAAGCAGCAGCGUGUACCCGUGGAUCGACAUGGUGAAUACCAGCGGAUGACCAACCGAGAAACUGCAAAUAAACCAUUUUGUGUUGCUAGCUUCCACCUCUCAACAGUCCUGGUUCUUGCGGUAGGACCAAAGUGAUGUGCGUCAGUGCGUAGUUGCUGUAUUUGACACUGAACAAUUCAUUGCAUCUAGGAGUACUUUUCAAUAACAUGAGUAGAUAGAUAGUUAGCUAUUCGAUUAGUGCACAUCAGAGUCCUAUCGUGAGCAGCGGUGCCAGCGGCUAAUUCCAAGCAUCAUGGCUGUGUGCCUUCACAUCAAGAUAGGCAGCACCCGUACUAUUGAACUCAUGUGAACGGCGCCUUCGACGCUAGCGUCUUGUUGCGGUCUUACGACGGCAGCGAUGGCAUCGUCCCUUCGCCAUCAUGGUGAGUGGUGAGAGCAUUCGGUUUGGCACCGAUGGUGGGAACGAGACAUGGUCCAGGUCGUCCACGCCCAGUGAUUUUGUCCCUACGGCGGGUGGCUUUCCGUCCGACGUGGGUGCGUGCGGUGUAAUCCAUCCGUCGCUUUCCGCUAGCUCACAAGUCCGGUAACGCCGCCGUGCAGCCUCGCCCCUUCUUCUCUCCUCCAACCUUUUCCCCCUGUUCUGCAAGCCCUUUCCGUCUCCUUCUGGCUGCUUCCUCGCGCAGGUGCUACUUCUGAGCUUCCGAGGCGACAGAGCUGCACCAGAGCAGAGCAGAGCAGACACAGCUGAUCAGAUUGAGAGAUGAGGGAGAUCAUAAGCAUCCACAUCGGGCAGGCGGGCAUCCAGGUGGGGAAUUCCUGCUGGGAGCUCUACUGCCUCGAGCAUGGCAUCCAGCCCGACGGCCUCAUGCCCAGUGAUACCUCGGUUGGGGUUGCAAAGGAUGCAUUCAACACGUUCUUCAGCGAAACGGGUUCAGGGAAGCACGUCCCGAGGGCCUUGUUCGUCGAUCUGGAGCCCACGGUCAUCGACGAGGUGAGGACGGGCGCAUACCGCCAGCUCUUCCAUCCAGAGCAGCUCAUCUCCCACAAUGAAGAUGCUGCUAACAACUUUGCCCGUGGACACUACACAGUUGGAAGAGAAGUGGUGGACCUUUGCCUUGACCGGAUCAGAAAAUUGGCGGAUAACUGCACUGGCCUCCAAGGUUUCUUGGUUUUCAAUGCUGUUGGUGGUGGAACUGGCUCAGGGCUUGGUUCAUUGCUUCUGGAGCGCCUAUCGGUCGACUAUGGCAGGAAAUCGAAGCUUGGUUUCACUAUCUAUCCUUCACCACAGAUUUCGACGGCCGUUGUGGAGCCUUACAACAGCGUGCUCUCAACCCACUCGCUGAUCGAGCACACCGACGUCGUCGUUCUGCUGGACAACGAGGCCAUCUACGACAUCUGCAAGAGGUCCCUGGACAUCGAGCGCCCGACCUACACCAACCUGAACAGGCUGAUAUCCCAGGUGAUAUCGUCCCUGACCACCUCGCUGCGGUUCGACGGCGCCAUCAACGUGGACAUAACCGAGUUCCAGACCAACCUGGUGCCGUACCCGAGGAUCCACUUCAUGCUCUCUUCCUACGCGCCCAUCAUCUCCGCGGAGAAGGCCUUCCAUGAGCAGCACUCCGUCCCCGAGAUCACCAACUCUGUGUUCGAGCCGUCGAGCGUCAUGGCCAAGUGCGACCCCCGGCACGGCAAGUACAUGGCCUGCUGCCUCAUGUACCGCGGCGACGUCGUGCCCAAGGACGUCAACUCCGCCGUCCACUCCAUCAAGACCAAGAGGACCGUGCAGUUCGUCGAUUGGUGCCCGACUGGGUUCAAGUGUGGGAUAAACUACCAGCCGCCGACGGUGGUUCCGGGAGGGGACCUGGCCAAGGUGCGCCGGGCGGUGUGCAUGAUCAGCAACAACACGGCCGUGGCCGAGGUCUUCUCGCGCAUCGACCGCAAGUUCGACCUCAUGUACGCCAAGCGCGCGUUCGUGCACUGGUACGUCGGGGAAGGGAUGGAGGAGGGGGAGUUCUCGGAGGCCAGGGAGGAUCUGGCCGCGCUGGAGAAGGACUACGAGGAGGUCGGAGCUGAGGGUGAAGACGACGAGGACGAAGGCGAUGAGUACUGAGUUGAUCAAGCAUGGGUACGUGCUUAAUUGGGUGGCAGUGUUGUGCACUUCAUGCCGUAUGUUGUUCUUCUCUGUCCCUGUUUGCUUGCCGUUGCAUCUGUGAUGUUCGGUGGUUAGCAGAGUACAAAAAUUGUCAGAUUGGUUCGGGUGCACUGACGGCUCGGUGCCACAUAGUCUGUGAGGAGGUGGUAUCGAUACAUCAUAAUAAUGAACGAAGAUUUUUUGUACUGCAAGUUGCAGGGGUAUGUCUUCCUUUGUUUUGUUAUGAAAGCAAAGCAUGUUAGACCAUACGAUGUCUGUUAAAAGAAAAGACCAUACGAUGCAAAUUUUAUUAGUCCUAAAGAAGCAUUCAUUUCAGUAGCUUUCGUUUUAAACAAUGAGCUGCCUUGUCGAUUUUCAUUAUAGAAAUCUCUCGAAAUAUAUGAGUGCUUUAUAAAUAAAGCAAACAUUCAUA
rnacentral:rRNA from 1 species